AAUACGUAGGGUGCGAGCGUUAAUCGGAAUUACUGGGCGUAAAGCGAGCGCAGACGGUUACUUAAGCAGGAUGUGAAAUCCCCGGGCUCAACCUGGGAACUGCGUUCUGAACUGGGUGACUAGAGUGUGUCAGAGGGAGGUAGAAUUCCACGUGUAGCAGUGAAAUGCGUAGAGAUGUGGAGGAAUACCGAUGGGCGAAAGGCAGCCUCCUGGGGAUAACACUGACGUUCAUGCUCGAAAAGCGUGGGUAGCAAACAGGAUUAGAUACCCUGGUAGUCCACGCCCUAAACGAUGUCAAUUAGCUGUUGGGCAACUUGAUUGCUUAGUAGCGUAGCUAACGCGUGAAAUUGACCGCCUGGGGAGUACGGUCGCAAGAUUAAAACUCAAAGGAAUUGACGGGGACCCGCACAAGCGGUGGAUGAUGUGGAUUAAUUCGAUGCAACGCGAAGAACCUUACCUGGUCUUGACAUGUACGGAAUCCUCCAGAGACGGAGGAGUGCCUUCGGGAGCCGUAACACAGGUGCUGCAUGGCUGUCGUCAGCUCGUGUCGUGAGAUGUUGGGUUAAGUCCCGCAACGAGCGCAACCCUUGUCAUUAGUUGCCAUCAUUAAGUUGGGCACUCUAAUGAGACUGCCGGUGACAAGCCGGAGGAAGGUGGGGAUGACGUCAAGUCCUCAUGGCCCUUAUGACCAGGGCUUCACACGUCAUACAAUGGUCGGUACAGAGGGUAGCCAAGCCGCGAGGCGGAGCCAAUCUCACAAAACCGAUCGUAGUCCGGAUUGCACUCUGCAACUCGAGUGCAUGAAGUCGGAAUCGCUAGUAAUCGCAGGUCAGCAUACUGCGGUGAAUACGUUCCCGGGUCUUGUACACACCGCCCGUCACACCAUGGGAGUGGGGGAUACCAGAAGUAGGUAGGGUAACCGCAAGGAGCCCGCUACC
rnacentral:rRNA from 1 species